rnacentral:tRNA from 1 species
AGCAUGUAACUCAGUGGAUAGAGUGUCAGAUUCCGGUUCUGAAAGUCGUUGGUUCAAGUCCAACCAUGCUUGU